GCGACGGAAACGCGCGCUCCCGACUGCGGCGGAGGCGGCGCUGGGCGUGGGGUCCCGGACUGGAGCGCCCAAGACACCCUCCCAACCCCAGGGCGCUGAGGCCGAGAGGAGUAUGCUGUUCUUGUGAAGUUACAACUCAGAAAUGGAAAACUAUGAUAUUUACUAUGAUGUUGAAGAAACUAGAAAGAGUCACAUAAAGUAGAGUCAAGAAUGGCCCACUUCAAGGGAGAAUUGCCUCAGAAUUUGAAUGAGUUUUGCCUCAGGCUUUCUGUGAAGCUAGAAUAUUUCCCAGGAGAUGCUGAUGCUGCUGUUCUCUGCCAC